GAUGAACGCUAGCGGCAGGCUUAAUACAUGCAAGUCGUGGGCAAGCGUUGGUAGCAAUACCGGCGCCUAGACCGGCAAACGGGUGAGGAACACGUACACAACCUCCCUUCGAGUGGAGAAUAACCCGGGGAAACCUGGACUAAUACUCCGUAACAUGUUGAAAAAGGCAUCUUUUUUAAUAUUAUAGCAGCAAUGCGCUUGAAGACGGGUGUGCGUAUGAUUAGGUAGUUGGCGGGGUAACGGCCCACCAAGCCUACGAUCAUUAACUGGUGUGAGAGCACGAUCAGUCACACGGGCACUGAGACAC
rnacentral:rRNA from 1 species